rnacentral:lncRNA from 1 species
UUGAGUUAAGCUUGAAAAAGAAGAAGACUUGAAGGACAAGUUAUUAUAAUCCUACCGAGAUAUGGAUUAGGGUUAAUGGUUUUAUGGUUUUGUAAAGUCCUAUUUGGAUUAGGACUUAGGUGGUUUUGGUUUUAUAUAAAUAGAGAAGUCGAGUUAUGACUUUAGGUGUGAGAUUAAGAGAGAUUGUUGAGAGCUUUAGUUUUGAGGAAUUUUCUAAAGCAAUAAAAGAAAGUGUCUUUUAUAUUUCUUGAUCUCUUGAGUUACAAGUUUGUUAAACAAUAUUUGGUAUCAGAGCAAAACCAAGGUUGUUUAAAACAUGGCUGAGUUGGUUAAUGUCCAAACAAAGCCUAAAGAAAGCAGCUCCUCCUCCAUCCAAUGCCCAAUGCUUACAAGCACAAAUUACACGGUUUGGUCCAUCCGUAUGCAGCUCUUGCUCAAGGUUCAUAAAGUGUGGGAAACAGUUGAACCCGGUGAUGAAGACGAUGACAAGAACAAUAUGGCGAGAGCAUUGCUCCUCCAGUCCGUUCCCGAGUCCAUGGUUGUGCAAAUCGGACAUCUUAUAACAUCAAAAGCUGUAUGGGAUGCGAUCAAGGUUAGAUAUGUGGGUGCUGAUCGUGUACGCGAAGCUCGACUCCAAACCCUGUUCUCUGAUUUUGAAAAAUUGAAGAUGAAAGACAGUGAUACCAUCGAUGAUUUCGUUGGUAAAAUCACCGAACUAACCUCAAAAUCCGCAACCUUAGGAGAAACGAUUGAGGAACCAAAACUUAUUAAAAAGCUCCUCAACGGCCUGCCUCGGAAACGGUACAUCCUCCUUGUUGCAUCUCUUGAACAGAACCUUGAUCUCAAAACUACAAGUUUUGAAGAUAUUGUCGGACGCCUAAAAUCUUAUGAAGAAAGAACGCGUGAUGAUGAAGAAGAUGAGCAAGCUCCGGGCCAAGACAAACUCAUGUAUGCUAACUCGGAAGCACAAUCAGGUCAAGGAAAUUAUGAGUCACGCGGAAGAGGCUCUGGUGGAAGAUAUGGAGGUCGUGGCAGAGGACGAGGAAGAGGACGAUAUGGCUACCAACAAAGGGAUCCUGCAACCGUAACCUGUUUCCGGUGCGAUAAACUCGGGCAUUACGCUUCUACAUGUCCCGACAGGUUACUUAAACUUCAAGAAGCCGAAGAAAACAAGAAAACCGAGGAAGAUACACAUGAAGCAGAAGAACUAAUGAUGCACGAAGUCGUUUAUCUUAACGAAAAAAAUGUAACUCCUAAUGCUCUAACAACACAAGGUGAUGCAAGCAAUAUAUGGUACUUGGACAACGGAGCGAGCAAUCACAUGUCAGGACACCUUUCUUAUUUCUCUAAGAUUGAUGAAACUGUGACUGGAAAAGUACGGUUUGGAGAUGAUUCACGCAUUGACAUCAAAGGGAAAGGAUCUGUUCUCUUUAACAUCAAUGGUGGAACAAAGGUUCUGAAUAAUGUUUACUAUAUACCAGAUUUAACAAGUAACAUUAUCAGCCUUGGACAAGCCACCGAAUCCGGCUGUAACAUUCAAAUGAAAGGUGACCUCUUGACAUUACAUGACCGAGACGGCAGGUUACUCGUCAAAGCAAGACGUUCCAAAAAUCGUUUAUACAAAGUCUUGCUGGAGGUUGAACCGGCGACAUGUCUUCACCUAGUAGCAAUGAGCGAGUCAGCAACUUGGCAUGCAAGGUUAGGGCAUAUUGGUUUUGAAUCCAUGAAACUAAUGGUGAAGAAGGAAUUGGUUCUUGGCAUGCCAAAUUUCAAGAUUGAGAAAGAUACUUGUGCUUCAUGUUUGCUUGGAAAACAAGUAAGACACAGUUUCCCAAAGGCAACCUCGUUCCGAGCAUCAAGUCGACUCGAGCUUAUUCACGGAGAUCUCUGUGGCCCAAUCUCACCUCCAACUCCAGCAAAGAACAGGUACAUAUUUGUCUUGAUUGAUGACCAUUCUCGUUAUAUGUGGUCUAUCUUAUUGAAGGAGAAGAGUGAGGCAUUCGGAAAAUUUAAGAAGUUCAAGAAAAUUGUCGAGCAAGAAACAGGUUCCACUAUCAAAACAUUCCGCACAGAUAGAGGUGGAGAGUUUCUCUCCCAAGAAUUCCAAAGUUUUUGUGAAGACUCAGGCAUUCAAAGACAUUUGACUGCUCCAUACUCACCACAGCAAAACGGGGUAGUGGAGAGGCGAAACAGAACACUUAUGGAAAUGACUCGAAGCAUUUUGAAAUACAUGGGCAUUCCAAAUUAUCUUUGGGGAGAAGCAGUGAGACAUGCCACCUAUGUCAUCAACAGAGUAGCAACUAGAGUCUUAAACGCACAAACACCAUAUGAAGCUUACAAAGGAAGGAAACCAUGUAUUGAGCAUAUUCGCGUCUUUGGUUGCCUCGGAUAUGCAAAAGUAGAAACUCCACAUCUAAGAAAACUAGAUGAUCGAUCUCGUGUUUUAGUACACCUUGGAACUGAGCCGGGAUCGAAAGCAUAUCGGCUGUUAGACCCUACAACAAAGAAGAUAACGGUUAGUCGGGAUGUUGUGUUUGAUGAGAGCAAAAGCUGGAAGUGGAAUACUCUAGGUAACAAUUUUGAUACGAGACCAGGAAUGUUCACUGUUAACUUUGGAGAAUAUGGGAAUAAUGGAAUAAGAGAAGACCCUAUAGUUGAUGAAAACGAAGAAAGAAGAGGCGAGGAAGCUCUAAGUGACGGAUCAAGUAAUGAUAAUCAAGAUGUCAGCGAUGAUCAAAGGGUGGAAAGCGAUGAGGAAGGAGAAGAAUUGAACCACGAUCCACCUGUUGCUCCCAGAAGAUCAACCCGACAAGUCACAACACCAAAGUAUUUGGAAGAUUAUGUUAUGUUGGCCGUGAUCGAAUGUGAGAAAUUGUUACUAGCCGUAAACGAGGAGCCAUGGAGUUUUGACGAGGCAAAAGAAUUGGAAGAAUGGAGAGUCGCUUGUCAAGAAGAAAUCAAUUCAAUCAAUAAAAACAGAACAUGGGACUUAGUUGAUCUUCCACAAGGUGCUAAGGCAAUCGGAUUGAAGUGGGUGUUUAAAAUCAAAAGAAAUUCAGAUGGAAGCUUAAACAGGUAUAAGGCGAGACUUGUAGCCAAAGGUUACAUACAAAGGCAUGGUGUGGACUUCGACGAGGUGUUCGCUCCAGUGGCUCGUGUUGAAACUAUCCGACUUAUAAUUGCUUUGGCGGCUUCUAAUUCUUGGGAGAUACAUCAUCUUGAUGUAAAAACAGCCUUCCUGCAUGGUGAACUAAAGGAAGUAGUAUUUGUCUCACAACCAGAAGGUUUUGUAAUACAAGGAAGUGAAAGCAAGGUUUAUAAGCUUAACAAGGCACUUUACAGUUUAAGACAAGCCCCAAGAGCUUGGAAUGACAAACUCAAUGCGAUUCUUAAGGAGCUGAAGUUUGAAAGAUGUUCAAAGGAACCCUCACUAUAUCGAAAGCAAGAAAAGGAGCAUCUACUAGUCGUUGCUGUUUAUGUCGAUGAUCUACUUGUCACGGGAUCUAGUUUAAGUUUGAUACUUGACUUCAAAAGGGGAAUGGCAUCAAAGUUUGAAAUGAGCGACCUCGGAUUGUUAACGUAUUACCUUGGAAUAGAAGUUCUGCAAUAUAACGGUGGUAUCAUGUUAAAACAAGAGAGGUAUGCUGAAAAGAUUCUCGAAGAGACUAGCAUGAAAGAAUGUAACUCGGUUCUCAUACCAAUGGAAGCCGGUCUUGAACUUUCUAAAGCACAAAAGGAAGAACGUAUUGAUGAAACUGAAUAUCGAAGAAACAUUGGGUGUCUUCGUUACUUGCUUCAUACACGACCUGACCUCUCAUAUUGUGUGGGAGUUUUAAGUAGGUACAUGCAUGAACCAAGACGAUCACACGGAGCAGCAAUGAAAGCGGUACUUAGGUACUUACGUGGAACUUCCUCUUUUGGUUUGAAUUUUACUCAAGGAGACAAGACUGGUUUGGUUGGAUAUAGUGAUAGCUCACAUAAUGUGGAUAAAGAUGAUGGAAGAAGCACAGCUGGUCACAUUUUCUACCUCAACAACUUUCCAAUUACAUGGUGUACUCACAAACAGAACACAGUUGCAAUGUCUUCAUGUGAGGCUGAGUUUAUGGCGGGAACGGAAGCUGCAAAACAAGCCUUAUGGCUUCAAGACUUACUUGGAGAGAUCAUUGGUUCAUCUAGUGAAAAAGUCACAAUUCUCAUGGACAACAAGUCAGCACUAGCACUCACCAAGAAUCCUGUUUUCCAUGGAAGAAGCAAGCAUAUACAUAGGCGAUAUCACUUUAUUAGAGAAUGUGUUGAGAAUGGACAUAUAGAAGUGGAGUAUGUUCCGGGAAAGGAACAAAAGGCGGACAUUUUAACAAAGGCUUUAGGAAAGAUCAAGUUUAGGGAAAUGAGAGAGUUCAUUGGAGUUCAAGACUUGAAGAAGGAUGUGUUCAAGCUUAAGGGGGAGAAUGUUGAGUUAAGCUUGAAAAAGAAGAAGACUUGAAGGACAAGUUAUUAUAAUCCUACCGAGAUAUGGAUUAGGGUUAAUGGUUUUAUGGUUUUGUAAAGUCCUAUUUGGAUUAGGACUUAGGUGGUUUUGGUUUUAUAUAAAUAGAGAAGUCGAGUUAUGACUUUAGGUGUGAGAUUAAGAGAGAUUGUUGAGAGCUUUAGUUUUGA